rnacentral:rRNA from 1 species
AUGGUGCGGGGACCUGCCGACGGUGGCGCGGCGCACGGGCCGGCGCUGGUGCGCGUGCAGGUGCCGGCGCGGUGGAGCGACUGGAGGUAGUGCCCGCCGUGGCACGCCAACUCGCUGGAGAACGUCGUGCCGGAGAACCUGCCCCGGCCGUCCGCGCGGCGGAGAUACCGCGGCGUAGGGGCCGUCGACAAGGUGUAUGCUCCAGCGCCCGCGGCGUCGCGCGACGCCGUGCUCCCGUUCGUGGUGCUCCACUCCGGCUCUGGCAUGGCCUGCUUCUCCCUCUAA